rnacentral:rRNA from 1 species
UUGAACUGAAGAGUUUGAUCCUGGCUCAGAUUGAACGCUGGCGGCAUGCCUUACACAUGCAAGUCGAACGGCAGCACGGGUGCUUGCACCUGGUGGCGAGUGGCGAACGGGUGAGUAAUACAUCGGAACAUGUCCUGUAGUGG